AGUGAACGCUGGCGGCAGGCCUAACACAUGCAAGUCGAACGGCAGCACAAGAGAGCUUGCUCUCUGGGUGGCGAGUGGCGGACGGGUGAGGAAUGCAUCGGAAUCUGCCCAUUUGUGGGGGAUAACCUCGGGAAACCGGGACUAAUACCGCAUACGACCUACGGGUGAAAGCAGGGGAUCUUCGGACCUUGCGCAGAUGGAUGAGCCGAUGCCGGAUUAGCUAGUUGGAGGGGUAAAGGCCCACCAAGGCGACGAUCCGUAGCUGGUCUGAGAGGAUGAUCAGCCACACUGGGACUGAGACACGGCCCAGACUCCUACGGGAGGCAGCAGUGGGGAAUAUUGGACAAUGGGCGCAAGCCUGAUCCAGCCAUGCCGCGUGUGUGAAGAAGGCCUUCGGGUUGUAAAGCACUAUUGUUGGGAAAGAAAAGCAGCCGGUUAAUACCCGGUUGUCAUGACGGUACCCAAAGAAUAAGCACCGGCUAACUUCGUG
rnacentral:rRNA from 1 species